rnacentral:rRNA from 1 species
CACUGGUCUGCAGCUCGUCCUCCGGGAUGGUGGGGACACUGUUGGGACCGCCUCUGCUAAAGAGGAGGAAGGAAUGGGCAACGGUAGGUCAGCAUGCCCCGAAUUAUCCGGGCUACACGCGGGCUACAAUGGGUGGGACAAUGGGUAUCGACACCGAAAGGUGAAGGCAAUCUCCUAAACCCAUCCUUAGUUCGGAUUGUGGGCUGCAACUCGCCCACAUGAAGCUGGAAUCUGUAGUAAUCGUGUCUCAACAUGGCACGGUGAAUAUGUCCCUGUCCUUGCACACAA